AUUGAACGCUGGCGGCAGGCCUAACACAUGCAAGUCGAACGGUAACGGGAAGCAGCUUGCUGCUUUGCUGACGAGUGGCGGACGGGUGAGUAGUGUCUGGGAAACUGCCUGAUGGAGGGGGAUAACUACUGGAAACGGUAGCUAAUACCGCAUAACGUCGCAAGACCAAAGAGGGGGACCUUCGGGCCUCUUGCCAUCGGAUGUGCCCAGAUGGGAUUAGCUAGUAGGUGGGGUAACGGCUCACCUAGGCGACGAUCCCUAGCUGGUCUGAGAGGAUGACCAGCCACACUGGAACUGAGACACGGUCCAGACUCCUACGGGAGGCAGCAGUGGGGAAUAUUGCACAAUGGGCGCAAGCCUGAUGCAGCCAUGCCGCGUGUAUGAAGAAGGCCUUCGGGUUGUAAAGUACUUUCAGCGGGGAGGAAGGGAGUAAAGUUAAUACCUUUGCUCAUUGACGUUACCCGCAGAAGAAGCACCGGCUAACUCCGUG
rnacentral:rRNA from 1 species